rnacentral:rRNA from 1 species
GUGGGGAAUAUUGGACAAUGGGCGAAAGCCUGAUCCAGCCAUGCCGCGUGAGUGAUGAAGGCCUUAGGGUUGUAAAGCUCUUUCAGUAGGGAAGAUAAUGACGGUACCUACAGAAGAAGCCCCGGCUAACUUCGUGCCAGCAGCCGCGGUAAUACGAAGGGGGCUAGCGUUGUUCGGAUUUACUGGGCGUAAAGCGCACGUAGGCGGAUUGGUCAGUUAGAGGUGAAAUCCUGGAGCUCAACUCCAGAACUGCCUUUAAUACUGCCAGUCUAGAGUCCAGAAGAGGUGAGUGGAACUCCUAGUGUAGAGGUGGAAUUCGUAGAUAUUAGGAAGAACACCAGUGGCGAAGGCGGCUCACUGGUCUGGUACUGACGCUGAGGUGCGAACGCGUGGGGAGCAAACAGGAUUAGAAACCCUUGUAGUCC